UUAUGCUGCAUCAGAUGUGACAGCACUCACAACAACUGAUGUUAAUUGUUGAUCAGGCGCUGGUCGGAGGGCUUCAUAUGCAGGUUAACUCAUUUAAGUCUGACAGCAAGUCUAUGUGUAUGUAUGAUGGUGAUCCCCUUCUUACCCACGAGAUAAUCAAGGCUCACAGAGGAGAAAUAAUUUGCCCAGUCACCCAGCCAGUAAGUGGCAGAGCCAGGAUCCCACCCCAGGUAGCCUGGAUGCAGAGACCACACUGUCACCCACCGCACAGGCAGCUUGUCCUCUUCUGAUUUGUCUUGGGCGGCUCGACUCUGGGUUUACUUUCUCCUCCAUGGCAGAUGAAGAAGGAAGGGGAAAGAGGCAGGGCACCAAAGACUGACAUACCACAGACCUUACGGAAUCCCUGGUCUCAAAGGAACUAUCAUAGGACAUUUUCACACCUCUUCAUCAAAUGAUACUAUCUAUAGACCAUUCAGUCAGAUGCAGAUUUCCAUUCUUCUCCAGGAAGGAAUUAUUAUUGCUCCUCUUAUUAAUUCAUUUCAGUAUUUAGCAGACUUCCCUGCCCUGAAGCUCUUCACACCCAACCCGACCGAGUCGUGUAAAGAGUUAGCCUGAGGUUUGGACAUUGAGGCAAUAACUAAAAUUAACUCUGGACUUCUCUGUGGAUUUUUUUAAUCCAUGUUCCAUUGGCACAGUUCACUAGUAUAUACAAGCCUAACUAAAACGCAUUAAGUCCCAGCUCGCUUUUGAGAGUUUGCCGCUGAGUAUGCCGUUGAGGAAGAAAGCACGCGGUGGAUUCUUUGCUGGCCACUGUCUCCAAACAACCCCCACUGGAAGGGACUCUGCCCAUGCUCCACUGCGUUAGCACCCACAGGAUCUCUGCUCAGAACCCCCAGGGAGCAUUUGCCCAGCCACAAGGUUCUGAUUACUGAAGCCUCUCCCCCGAGCUGCAUCUGACCUGAAUAUCAGGUUGCUGGUGAGGAGACUCAUUCACUGGAACUGGCCUUUGGAGCAGUGCUGACCGGACCAUCCAGACUGCUGAGCCGGCCUCCAGUGACCUGGCACGCAGGACACGCGGGUGACAGCAUUUCCCUCCGUGUUAGACGUUCCCCAGGUAGAAAUGCAAGACGACCUAGAACUAUAAUGAUCCUGUCUGUGUCAUAAGAGCAUCAGAGAGAACUUGGGUGAAUUAAAAGUCCUAACGGAUGUGCUUUCGGCCCACCAAAUUCAUGCAAAAUAUUAAUUCCCUUGUCUUGUUGCUAUUCAUGAAAUGGCGCAGAUUAGAGAAGGCCCUGGUCAUUGAUUAAAGGACAUUCAAGGGAAUGAAGGAUGACACGGGGAAAGGCCAACAUGACGUUUUCACGUGUGUUCUACCUGGUUGGGGGGCCUGAGAGAAAGACAAGCUUCUCCUCUCCUCAUCCCUGCUGGCACCGGUGGCCUCCCCAUGCAGUGUUCCCUGUGCGCUUGGCCUCGGCUGAGGGAGAGGUGAUGAAAAGGGGAGAGACAGCUCUCCGCCGCCAAGUAAUCCUUCUGCCGAUUGCCCUCUGGCUGAGAACUCAGUCACCCAACUUCAGGGAACUCUAUCUGUUCUACUCCUUUAGUUUAAAAGGAGUUGCCAUCCUGUCUCAUUUCCCCCUUUGAAGUUCUAUUUCAACGUGUGGCAAAUUCUAGCAAUGACUUAAGACUGAUUUGGGCCUGGAUGGGAAGGAGGACAGAGGUGGUGGAGGUUAGGACUUAGAUCCCUUGACUGGAAGCUUCUCUUGCCACUCUUUCUGGAGAGACAGACAGAGAGAGAGAGCACAAGCAGAGGGAGAGGGAGAAGCAGGCUCCCUGCUGAGCCGGGAGCCCGACACGGGGCUCAAUCCCAGGACCCUGGGAUCAUGACCUGAGCCGAAGGCAGCUGCUUUAACCAACUGAGCCACCCAGGUGCCCCUGAAACAUGAUAUUUUAUGGGCUCUUCGCCUCAGCUAUUCUGUCCAUGCCACUGGCAGAGUGAAAGUCCUGGUUGCAAGCAACAGAAACUGACUCCAGCUGAUUUAAAAGAAAAACAUUUAUUAAAAGGAUAGGAGGGUAACUCACAAAAUCCCUGGGAGGGCUUGAGAGCCAGACUGGAGCCGGAGCACUGGCUAAAAGCAGACAGCAGAACCAGUCUGAUCUGGCUACCCGGACUGCGAGAGGCACCAGGCUCCAGAUCUGCUCUGCAGACUGUCUUGGCCCUGGACACAGGAUGCCAGGAGUCAGACCAGUGACAGUCGCCGCCACCACCUGGGAAGACUAACUGUGGGCCCUGUUUCUUUGCUUCCUUACCUCUCAAUUAGAAGCAUGCGACCACAAGAUUCAGAUUCCUUGGAGCCUAGAGGACCCUUGGAAUUUUCUUCACCUUGGCUACAUCCUGUG